ACAAUAAAGUAAAAAAGAAAAAAAAGAUCUAAUUUAAAAUAGUGAUGAGAUCCCUGAUUUUGGAUUCUUGAGCCCACAUUCCUUAAAGAGUAGAGCCAGUUUUCAUGAGGGGAAGCUUAAAAUUACCAGAAUAAAAUUAAUUUUAAUUCACUUUAGUUAAAAAUCCACACAUUUGAGUAUAUACAUAUGUAUCUCCCCAAGACCAUUUUUAGGAAGAGUGAGAAUAUCAAGGAAAGGAAACAAACUUCCACUGAAUGUGUAGUAUCAGGUUAUUUUUUAUCCUCAUGGCAAUCCUAUAAUGCUGGUUUUAUUAUCCCUGCUUUUACAGAGGGAGGACGAUAGUCUUGGAGAGUUUGUGUAACUUUCCCAGGACUGUGAGGUAAGUGGCAGAACAAAGACUCACUCUCCAGAGAGUCUAUCAAAGUUUUCCAUCCUAUAUCCACCUCGAAAACUCUGGGAGGGCAUCACAACAUAAAAGGAAAGGUUUUGGCUUUUGUUUGUAUGUUUCCUUGUUUGAUGGGAGGAUAUAAGUUCAAAGAGGUGAUGAUACUUUGGGUUCAGUGUUCAGAGGCCUAAACGAAUCAGUUUCCUUUCUUACCUAGCAUCCCUGGCUCUAUCCCACACCAUGAGGCCCCAGGUGCACUUUGUGGACACCCCUUGACAACACCUGGGCAUCGCUAGAGGUAUGGACCCUGGCUCCAUGGUCUUUGCUCAGAAGAACAGACCCUGGAAAGAGGACUGUGCAUGGCCUGGAAGUGGCACAAAGCCUUUUGGGAAGGCAGUUCCAGCUUCAGAGAAUAAACAAGUCAUCUGAUGAUGUGAAUCGGGUGAAAAUGGAGCAAGGACCAAGAGAAGAUCUACAUCACCUUAGGCAUGAAAGAAAGUGAAAUAACCUAGCAGGUAAAUACAUUUUGGACCUGGUUAUCUGGGGAUAUGGCUGGGUGGGCAAGCUUUUUUAUGACAUUGAUUGUGUAGAUAAUUGCCUCAUAUUUCCACUGUCUGGGUAGAUAAUACUUAAGGAUUUUAGAUGUUUCCCUAGAGCUAUGAACUGUCACCAUAGUUCAUGCCUCACAAUAGAAACUGAACAAGCCUUUUUGGAAAGAGAGAAGAAAUGUUUUGCAUCAAACCUCAUGACGUGCCAUGCUGCUAAUGCGUUUUGAAUUCCACACUCCAAAACAUCUGGCAAGACUCCUAUGAUUCAUACAUCCAUUGAGAGCUUGAAGCUCCAAAUUUAGUUAAAUAAAUUGUUAAGAAUGUGUUUUUAUUAUAUAAACUUGAGCUCCAAAUAAGUCCAAAUAUUCUUGGAAAUUUCAAACAUGAAUCCCAUAAAUAGUUCUAGAUUUUGACUGUAAAGGUCUUAAGGGCUAAACAAUUAUUUAACACUCGUUUUAGUACAAGAAUAUACUAUUGAAUUGUUGCUUGCCUUUACCCAUUGUGAACAAUUUUAGUCAUUGAUAUUUCAAUAAUUGGUACUUAGCAUGGCUAUUUCUACCCUACGAGGAAAUAUGUAUACACUCAAAAUAUUUUGCUGUGUUUUGAGUAAAUUUUAAACCUUGAAACUGCUGGCAACAUGCCUAGAGUAAUUGUUUCCUAGUGAAACAUUUUCCAUAACAAUAAUUAAAUUUGAAUUUAUGAAAGUGUUAAGGAUAUUUUACAUUAAAAUUAUAAUUAACUACAAGGAAGCUAAUUUUAAAUUUCCUCUCAAUGCUCUAAUUUAUACAUUAUUUUGAAUUCAUUUUUCCCAGUACCUAAAGCAGUGCUUCCUAAACUUUAAUGUGCACAAAAAUCCCCUUGAAUAUCUGGAUAAAACGUAAAUUCAGAUUCAAUGGGUCUGGGAUGGGACCUGAGACUCUGCAUUUUUUACACACUCCUUGUGAUGCCACUGGUUUUGAAGAACUCACUUUGAGGAGCAAAGAUCUAGCAUCUUUCAGAAUGUGCAGCCUACAGGUAGUUCAGCGAAUAUGUUUGGGAUCUGUCCUCUAGCCAAAUAAAGAGAAAAGCAAUUCUAUAGUUUAGAAUUGUUCCAGUCAAUUUUGUUGAUUUGGAUACUUUUUUCUGGAAAUGGCAACUUCAGGUAAGCAUUAUUGAGCCUCGGACUGUCAUGUUUUACUGUUAUUAUGUACUGUAUUCAUAGUAAUCAGAAAACUCUCUAGGCAUUCUAUCUGCUGGGUAAGCAAGCUGCUCCUUCAUAGAGAGGCUACUCAGAGGGAAAUGAAUUCAAUACAGUGUCCAAGAUAAUGCACAUUAUUUUCUUUUGUGAGAUAAGUGUAAGGGUGUUCUGUGAAUUCCUAGAAAUAUUUUUAGAACUGUUUCUCAAAGACUAAUCAAAACGAUAUUUAUAGUCGUACCUGCAAACCCUUGUAUUAUACGGCCCCUGGCUAACUCUCCAACUUCUAAUACUUCUUCCCCUGGGGAGUGGCUGUGGCCUGCUUUCAGCUUCUCUAGUGUGUCUGGGGCCUUUGUACACACUGUUUCCUUUGCUUUGCACUCUUUGCACUCUCUCUCCACCCUGAAUUUCCAGCACCCAGUUAAUUCCUACUUAUUCCAUACACGUGUGUGUGUGUGUGUGUGUGUGUGUGUAUACAAAAACACACAUUCUACUUAUACUGUACUUAAAGCUCAAAGGACUCAUACAACUCCAUAGCAGAAAAACCCAAACAAUCCAAUGAAAAAAUGGGAGGGAAUCUGAAUAGACAUUUUUCCACGGAAGGCAUACACAUGGCCAACAGGUCCAGGAAAAGGUACAAAACAUCACUAAAUCAUCAGGGAAAUGCAAAUAAAAACCACAACGAGAUAGUAUCUCACACCUAUCAGAACAGCUAUUAUCGAAAAAGACAAAUAACAAGUAUUGGCGAGGAUGCAGAGAAGAAGAAACGCCUGUGCACUGUUUAUGGGAAUGUAAAUUGGUAUAGCCACUAUGGAAAACAGCACGGAGGUUCCUCAAAAAUCAAAAGUAGAAUCACCAAAUGAUCUGCUGGUGAUCAUUUCUCAGCAUGUAUAAAAACCAAAUCAUUAUGUUGUACACCUGAAACUAAUAUAAUGAUAUAUGUUAAUUACACUUCAACCCCCCCACCACAUGGAUGCUCCCCAAGGGUUUCCCUGAGACCCCAGUUAAUGGUAAAUUUCUCCUAGAACCUUACAUCUUUUUCCAAAUCAGUUAACAUAAUUAGCAACUAUAUACGUGUUUCUUUGCUCAAGUAUUUACUGUCUCCCACUAAAAUAAAAGCUCCAUAAAUAUAGGAACUGGGUUUGUUUUGCUCUUCCUGGUGUCUCCAGGCCAAGCACGGUUCCUGGCAUAUAACUGGGCUCUCUCAGAACAAACAAGCGAGGAAGGAAAGCCUGAUUAUUUCCUUCUUACUGAUACAUAUGCUUUGCCCGUGUAUGGAGCCCACUGACAGACAUUCGUAAAGCUCUUACGAUGGUCAGGGAAGAGUCUUAAGGCACCCAUUACCCCACCAUUCUAAGAUGGUUAUUAGCAUAAUAGAAUUCUAGAAUGCAGGGACUCUAAGGGAUCUAAAUUUACAGGAGGAAAAUCUGAGGAAGAGGGAGAGUGACUUGCCUACUGCUCUUCAUCUAGUUAGUGUCCAAGGGAGAUGAGCCCUUAGAUCCCUUGUCCCCCUUGUGAUCAUCCCAUAGCACACGUAUGCAUUUAUAUCGCUGAGGAAAUGUUUGCAAACACAGCACAAAGGAUAUUUGAUCCAGCUUCAGUUCUCCCUGGAUGUUGAACUAUAUAAUUAUGAAGUACACAGCCUAUGACAAAUACGCAGGUAUAAAGUGGAUUUAGACUAUCAAAAUCAGACAUCAGCAUUUUCCCAAUUGUAUGUCUUUUCAAAAUUCUUUCCAGACUAAAUCUCUUUACUCUCAUCAAUCCAGAACUUCUAUAGCUUUAUAUAUAUUGUUACCAUCCAGAAUUGGUUUUAAUCUCCUUUAUAUAUUUUUGAUGCCUGGAUUAUCUAUCUUUCUUAUGGGUUAAGAGUUCCUUUUAAAUUAUUAAUUCCUAAGGGCCGGUGGCCGGGGGGUGGGGUAUAUUGACGAUUCCUCCUAUAACCUCACACAUUCUGUCAAAAUAAAUAUUGUUCACUGACUUGGGCCCCAGAAAAAUGAAGAUCAAAAGGUAUAACUUUACCUGAGAGUAGCAUUCAUUUAUUUGUCCCAUCUUUCAAAGAAAUUUCCUAAAUUUGACAUUUAUAUUCUGUACCAAUUACUUAAUUCCUGACUCAUUUUAACAUCCUCAGAAACUCCACCUCCCCUAUAUAAAAUGAAAUAAGACAUCAUGCAGUAAAGCCUAUUAGUAUCAGUAGUUACUUCUGAUAAUAAGUAUUCAGAAGGCUCAAAGAUGCUGACGAGGGAAACACACGAGUUCCACAUAUGAAAAGCCUUGAAGGAAUUUGCCAAUGCUUCAAAUGUCACUCCCUGACAACCUAAUAUUAAUGAAUAAAUGUCUUGAGGGGAAUUCUGGAUUAAGUGAUAGUUUUUAUUAAUUUCUCAAACUGCUUUGGCCUGGUGAACCAUGGGCUUUGACUACAGAAGGUAGGGAGCAUGGGCUCCGGCCCAAACGCUGUCAAAGAUAAGAAAUGGCUCCGACAGACAUCAAUCUGUUACUGUUCACAGGGCUGUCUCUUCCACUCCUUCUCCUUCCAGUUAUUAAGCAACAGUGUCAGUCAUGGGCCCGAUCCUCUUUUCUCUUUUUAUUAAUGAUUUAACAUGGAUAUGUCAUUACUGCUCUAUACAUCUUUAUGCAGAUGGCACGACUGUGCAUUUUAAUGGCAAAUCUGUUUCUCACUUAACUACUGAACUGCAAAAAGACUUUGGCAGACUGGUUCCAGGAAAACAAACUGGUUUUAAAAGCAGCAAAAACUAAAACAAUGGUUUUUGGCUCUACUGCUCAUCGGCGCUUGAAUAGUGAUUACUUUAAAAGCCAGAAUGAUUUGAGAAAAUGGCUUAUUAGAGGCAAUUUUCAAAUAUUAGGUUGAACUUGAGUAUAUUAUAUUGUUUUUUUGAAAAGUUAGAAGGUGGGACUCUAGAAAGAAUUUCCUUAGCUUUAAGCUAGAGAGAUUUUUAAACUAGGUGUAAUAUUUCUCAUUUACUAAUUAAUACCAUGGUAAUUUCUCUUUUCUUCAGUUUUCUAAAGACCAACCCCUAAAAAUGAAUUGAUCUUAAAAAUCAUAUUGUUUAAUGUAGGCACCCAAUGGAUAGAAACUACAUCUGCUAAUAUAAUUUCUAAGGAUGGAAAACACCUGAAACAAAUAUGAUUUGGGGCUGAUUUCAGUUAUAUAAAGUAAGUCAUGGGAGUUCCCAUUGUGGCUCAGUGGUAAGGAAUCCUACUAGUAUCCAUGAAGACGUGGGUUCUAUCCCUGGCCUUGCUCAGUGGGUUAAGUAUCUGGCAU